ensembl:misc_RNA Y_RNA Y RNA
AGCUGGUCCAAUGGCAGUCGGUUAUCAGAACUUAUUAACAUUAGUGUCACUAAAGUUGGUAUACCACCCCCCCACUGCUAAAUUCAACUGGCUAAAA